rnacentral:rRNA from 1 species
AGAGUUUGAUCCUGGCUCAGAGUGAACGCUGGCGGCAGGCCUAACACAUGCAAGUCGAGCGGCAGCGCGGGGCAACCUGGCGGCGAGCGGCGGACGGGUGAGGAAUUCGUCGGAAUCUGCCUUUUUGUGGGGGAUAACGUAGGGAAACUUACGCUAAUACCGCAUACGACCUACGGGUGAAAGUGGGGGACCGCAAGGCCUCACGCAGAAAGAUGAGCCGACGACCGAUUAGCUAGUUGGUGGGGUAAAGGCCCACCAAGGCGACGAUCGGUAGCUGGUCUGAGAGGAUGAUCAGCCACACUGGGACUGAGACACGGCCCAGACUCCUACGGGAGGCAGCAGUGGGGAAUAUUGGACAAUGGGCGCAAGCCUGAUCCAGCCAUGCCGCGUGUGUGAAGAAGGCCUUCGGGUUGUAAAGCACUUUUGUCCGGAAAGAAAUCUUCCAGUUUAAUACGCUGGGAGGAUGACGGUACCGGAAGAAUAAGCACCGGCUAACUUCGUGCCAGCCGCCGCGGUAAUAC